rnacentral:rRNA from 1 species
UACGUAGGUGGCAAGCGUUGUCCGGAUUUACUGGGCGUAAAGAGCGCGCAGGCGGUCGUUCAAGUCGCGUGUGAAAGCCCCGGGCUCAACCUGGGAAUUGCGAUGGAGACUGCAAGGCUAGAGUGUGUCAGAGGGGGGUAGAAUUCCACGUGUAGCAGUGAAAUGCGUAGAUAUGUGGAGGAACACCGAUGGCGAAGGCAGCCCCCUGGGAUAACACUGACGCUCAUGCACGAAAGCGUGGGGAGCAAACAGG